rnacentral:rRNA from 1 species
UACGUAGGUGGCAAGCGUUGUCCGGAAUUACUGGGCGUAAAGGGCUCGUAGGCGGCCAACUAAGUCGGAUGUGAAAUCCCCAGGCUCAACUUGGGAACUGCAUCCGAUACUGGAUGGCUUGAAUUCGGGAGAGGGAUGCAGAAUUCCAGGUGUAGCGGUGAAAUGCGUAGAUAUCUGGAGGAAUACCGGUGGCGAAGGCGGCAUCCUGGACCGACAUUGACGCUGAGGAGCGAAAGCUAGGGGAGCAAACGGG